GGAUUCUUUCAGUCCAAAAAUUGGCUUAGUUGAAAAAGUAAAGAGAAGGAAUCUGAUCUUAAGAUGAAGCAACAGAAUAAAGAAACAAGCUGAACCAACAGAAAAGCAACGGCUGUUCUUGGAACUAGGGCAAGGGACCACAUGAAAACUGACAGAACAGGGGAUAAGAGCCACGACUGCCCAAGGACACAGACCACAAGAAGGCUGAGACUCUGUGCUAAGACGUUAGAACAACACCUUUCCUCAGGUCACCACUGCACCCACAGAGAACAGACACAACCUCAGGCGAAGACAAAAUGCAAGGUGGAGACUGAAUCUGAGGAGAUCUAAGGAAAACACGAAUGAAAAGAGUUAAAAACAAGGUCUUUAAAGGAGAUUAAAGCCAGGGAUACUUUUAGCUGUUCAGUGGUAGAGAAAGUCCAAC
rnacentral:lncRNA from 1 species